AACGAACGCUGGCGGCGUGCUUAACACAUGCAAGUCGAGCGGGAAAGUUUCCUUCGGGAAGCGAGUACAGCGGCAGACGGGUGAGUACAACGUAGGUAACCUACCCUCGAGACCGGGAUAACCUGUCGAAAGACGGGCUAAUACCGGAUAAGACCACAAGGGCUGCGGCCUUUGAGGUAAAAGAUGGCCUCUGCUUGCAAGCUAUCACUUGGGGAUGGGCCUGCGCGCCAUUAGCAGUUGGUGAGGUAACGGCUCACCAAGGCAAAGAUGGCUAGCUGGUCUGAGAGGAUGGCCAGCCACACUGGGACUGAGACACGGCCCAGACUCCUACGGGAGGCAGCAGUGGGGAAUAUUGGACAAUGGGCGCAAGCCUGAUCCAGCAAUGCGCGUGAGUGAAGAAGGCCUUAGGGUUGUAAAGCUCUUUCGGCGGGGACGAUGAUGACGGUACCCGCAGAAGAAGCCCCGGCUAACUCCGUGCCAGCAGCCGCCGUAAG
rnacentral:rRNA from 1 species